rnacentral:rRNA from 1 species
AUUGAACGCUGGCGGCAGGCCUAACACAUGCAAGUCGACCGAGUGGCGGACGGGUGAGUAAUGUCUGGGAAACUGCCCGAUGGAGGGGGAUAACUACUGGAACCGGUAGCUAAUACCGCAUACCAUCGGAUGUGCACAGAUGGGAUUAGCUCGUAGGUGGGGUAACGGCUCACCUAGGCGACGAUCCCUAGCUGGUCUGAGAGGAUGACCAGUCACACUGGCACUGAGAAACGGCCCAGACUCCUACGGGAGGCAUCAGUGGGGAAUAUUGCACAAUGGGCGCAAGCCUGAUGCUGCCAUGCCGCGUGUAUGAAGAAGGCCUUCGGGUUGUAAAGUACUUUCAGCGAGGAGGCGUUACUCGCAGAAUAAGCACCGGCUAACUCCGUGCCAGCCGCCGCGGUAAUUC